rnacentral:rRNA from 1 species
CAGUAGCCGCGGGAAUACGAGGGGGGCAAGCGUUGUUCGGAAUUAUUGGGCGUAAAGGGUGCGUAGGCGGUCUGAUAAGUCAUCUGUGAAAUCUAUGGGCUCAACCCAUAGUCUGCAGGCGAAACUGUCGGGCUUGAGUAUGGGAGAGGUGAGUGGAAUUUCCGGUGUAGCGGUGAAAUGCGUAGAUAUCGGAAGGAACACCUGUGGCGAAAGCGGCUCACUGGACCAUUACUGACGCUGAUGCACGAAAGCUAGGGGAGCAAACAGGAUUAGAUACCCGCGUAGUCCCUGUCUCUUAUAC